AGGGUUUGAUCAUGGCUCAGAACGUACGCUGGCGGCACGCCUAACACAUGCAAGUCGAACGAAGUAGCAAUACUUAGUGGCAGACGGGUGAGUAACAUGUAGGUAUCUUCCCUUUGGCCUGGAAUAACACGAGGAAACUUGUGCUAAUACUGGAUAAGUCUUUACGGAGAAAGCUUUAUGCACCAUUGGAUGAGCCUGCACUUGAUUAGUUUGUUGGUGGGGUAAUGGCCUACCAAGACUUUGAUCAAUAGCUGAUUUGAGAGGAUGAUCAGCCACAUUGGGACUGAGACACGGCCCAAACUCCUACGGGAGGCAGCAGUGGGGAAUCUUGCACAAUGGAGGAAACUCUGAUGCAGCGAUGCCGCGUGAGUGAAGAAGGCCCUUGGGUUGUAAAGCUCUUUCGUCGGGGAAGAAAAUGACUGUACCCGAAUAAGAAGGUCCGGCUAACUUCGUGCCAGCAGCCGCGGUAAUACGAAGGGACCUAGCGUAGUUCGGAAUUACUGGGCUUAAAGAGUUCGUAGGUGGUUGAAAAAGUUGGUGGUGAAAUCCCAGAGCUUAACUCUGGAACUGCCAUCAAAACUUUUCAGCUAGAGUUUGAUAGAGGAAAGCAGAAUUUCUAGUGUAGAGGUGAAAUUCGUAGAUAUUAGAAAGAAUACCAAUUGCGAAGGCAGCUUUCUGGAUCAUUACUGACACUGAGGAACGAAAGCAUGGGUAGCGAAGAGGAUUAGAUACCCUCGUAGUCCAUGCCGUAAACGAUGUGUGUUAGACGUUGGAAAUUUAUUUUCAGUGUCGCAGCGAAAGCGAUAAACACACCGCCUGGGGAGUACGACCGCAAGGUUAAAACUCAAUGAAUUGACGGGGACCCGCACAAGUAGUGGAGCAUGUGGUUUAAUUCGAAGAUACGCGCAGAACCUUACCAACACUUGACAUGUUCGUCGCGACUUUAAGAGAUUAAAGUUUUCGGUUCGGCCGGACGAAACACAGGUGCUGCAUGGCUGUCGUCAGCUCGUGUCGUGAGAUGUUGGGUUAAGUCCCGCAACGAGCGCAACCCUCACUUUUAGUUGCCAUCAUUUAGUUGGGCACUCUGAAAGAACUGCCAGUGAUAAGCUGGAGGAAGGUGGGGAUGACGUCAAGUCCUCAUGGCCCUUACGUGUUGGGCUACACACGUGCUACAAUGGUAUUUACAACAGGAAGCAAGACGGCGACGUUAAGCAAAUCCUUAAAAAAUACCUCAGUUCGGAUUGCACUCUGCAACUCGAGUGCAUGAAGCUGGAAUUACUAGUAAUCGUGGAUCAGCGUGCCACGGUGAAUGCGUUCCCGGGUCUUGUACACACCGCCCGUCACACCAUGGGAGUUGGUUCUACCUUAAGGCAAGGUUUAAUACCCUUGACCACGGUAUAGUCAGCGACUGGGGUGAAGUCGUAACAAGGUAGCCGUA
rnacentral:rRNA from 1 species